GAUGAACGCUAGCGGCAGGCUUAAUACAUGCAAGACGAACGGUAAGUAGUGUAGCAAUACAUUGCCUAGAGUGUCGUACGGGUGCGUAACACGUAUGCAACCUACCUUUUACAGGAGUAUAGUUCGGUGAAAACCGAAUUAACCCUCCAUAACACAGCGCUGAGGCAUCUCAAAGCUGUUAAAACUGCGGUGGUAAAAGA
rnacentral:rRNA from 1 species